CACUUCCCCUCUGACAUCGCUCUCGGGGUGUUUUUUUGUACCCUCAUAAAUGAAGCACUUUUACAAAUAAGAACAUUACUGCUUUAAGAGUGAUUAACUACUGAAUAGAUACUGUUGGUUUUAAAUCUGGAGGAUCAUCUUGUUGUUUUGUAGAGUAAAGCAGAAAAACUUGAUUAUACAUUAGACUGUGUUGUAGUUUGUGAGCACUUUGCUAUUGUCUUCACUGGAUACGCUCCAGUGUUUGAGGCCACAUGAUUAGCUACAAUAUCUGACUUUUAUUGCAUUGAUCUAAGGUAAUUUUGCACCAUCAUAGGCAGCCACAAUGUCUUACAGUCUUUGUUAUUUUGUAUUGGCAGAUCACAGAUCGGUUCUGAAUAUAGUGGCAUUUUUUAAUAUGGCAUCACAACUUGGCAGAACACCUGUUAGCUGUGAUCAUAACAGAUCUGAGCAACCUUAUUGUACAAAUCUACCUCAGUCCCUUUAAAAUAUCUUUUAUGAUUUUUCAACAGAUCCCAAAUUAUUAAAAAAUAUUUGCAGUAUUUAUUUAACCGUAGCUCCAUGUACUCAAUAGGGAAUUUGAGUUAAUGAAAUGGGAUUUUUUACACUUUAAUAACAAAUUUUUGGCAUUCAUUUUCAAUGUGACAAGGAGGAGGUAUAAGUUAGAAACACAUUUUCAGGCCAAGAUGACCUUAUCUAUUAAAUCUAAUUAAGACUUUUGAAGACAGGGAUGUCUGGAAUAUUACCCAAAGUAAGACAAGAAAGAAAAUAGAGAUCUUCUGAUUAAAUCUUGACUAAAAUAACACAAGGCACUCACUAAAAUAUGAUUAAAAUCAACUUUCUUUCUCUUACAGAUUGAUAAGAUUUGAUCAACAUUCUAAUUUCUUGCCUUAAUUAAAACAUUGCUUUCAAACUUCCACAACGCACCAAACCUCCCAAAAACUCAGAAGCGCCUCUAUGCUAUGUAUCGCUCUUGGCCUGUAUUACUCAUUCAUUAAUGAUGAUUUUAAUAAAUAACUCAUUAAUGAUAUUUAUUCAUUGUCAGAUAAUUUGAUUCCCAGAUAGUAUGUGAACAAAGAAAUUAUUUUUUGAUCAGGUAGUAAACAUUUUCCUUUCUGUUAUGAAGUCAGGCUUCUUUUUUUUUUUUUUUUACAUGAGCGUUAAAUGAGAGUCUUUGACUCUUGCAGCAAGCCUCAAGUGGACACUGGAGGAGCUGCAGUUUAUCGCUUAUUCAGAUUGUCUUUAUUAAAAGGAGAAAGUGGUUCAGUGUUGACCCAACUGAACUGAACCCAACUGUUUAUGUUUCUUUGGUUAAAAAAUACCACAAAUGUGCAGAUGUUCUCUUCCUCAGUCUGGUCAAUAGCAUCCAGACUCUGGAAUAAAAUGUCUCCUCCAAAAAAACAAAAAAGAAAAGAAAAAACUUGAGGCACUUAUGUUUAUAUGAGUAAGUAUUUUCUACAUUAUACCUAACAGAAAUACUGGAGAUAUUUAGCUCUGAAACCCUGGCUGGGAGGCUAAUGAAAAUUUACUGUAGCACACUAUUUAAGCACACUAAAUUAUUGGCUGAAUUAGCACAGUGUGACGCGGAGAUACAAGAACACACACAUUGAAACAUACAUCUGCGCUUUAAUGUGCUUGUUUUUCCAUCUGGUCCGUGUUUUUAGGUCCCUUUUGGUCACAUUUUGCGUAUGUUUUCGUGGUCUGGAUAUCUUCAAGAAACGGAGUCAAAGUGCCGUAUGUGAUGUUGUCAUUUCUCUCUCUCCGAGGGUUUAUUGUUUUGUUUGGCAUUUGUGUUUCGUUUGGAGGCAAUCAUUGAAGAAUUUGAGCAGCACGUGUCCUCGGCAAUCAUAAUCAUGAAAUCCCCACUGGUCUCUCUCUCUCUCCCUCACACAAACUCACACACAUACACUCACACACACGCACACACACACAGAGGCCUGAUUGCUCCUCAGUCUGGUCUUUAUAAUGUAAUGGAUGCAGAUUGAAUGUGUCAGUGAGGACCUCACAGGAGGAGAUGGCAAAGGAAGGAAAAAAGGAAGGAGGAAAGGAAGGAAGGAAAAGAAAGCUGUUAGUGAUGAAUGAAGUACAAGAUUAAAAUGUGCAGGAGUAAGAUGUAUUCAAAAGGCAGAUUUGGCUGUGAGGCUUAUGUCUUACAUUUUAUAUAUAAAGGUGAUUUGUUAAAUCUCCUUCCUCCUCUGUAACACACAUACACACACUCUCUCUCACACACACACAGACACACUCACAAGCCCAGCCAGCCUAGAUGGUCAAGUGCUGUGAUAAAGUGCUGUCUAGUGUUCUCUCACUCUCUCAGCCCCCUGAGAGAAGAUCAAUACUCACUCAGCAUCAAGUUACCGCUAAUGUCUUCAUGUUUUUAACCAGGCGGUGUAUGUGUGUGUGAGUGUGUGUCUGUGUGUGUUUAGGUGUGUGCAUCUGCCCCUGGUGUGACCCAAGUUAUAAUUAUCAUUAAAUGUCAAUGAAGAUGAUAGGAUGAGCUCGACUGCAGAUAAAUCCCUAAAGCCCUGACUCAAAGCGCCUCCUAUAGAUGCUGUUUGGGAACUGCAGGGAACUAAGUUUCCUUUUACUUCAGAAGGUGGAUUCAUUGUUGUGAGUGAACUUUGGUAUGACCUUUUGUUUGUGAAUCACUUCCCUUUGACCUUCAAGGUGUUAAUUUAAUGAGAGUUGGCCUUUACCUGAUACAUCCCUAUUAUUUCUCAUCGACAUUUACACUGCUGAGUCAUACAGGAAACCUAACACAUCGAUAAAAUACGUCUGUCUGUUUGCUGACUAAAUGAGCAUACACUGAUGUGAAUAGAUAGAGAUCAGUGAUGGCAGUCUAAAGGCUUUAAAAAUAUCUGUAUGAGUCACACGUAGAGCUGGAUCAAAGGAAGUUUAAUUACAGUUUGACUCUUACUUCCUUAAGUCUGUCUGUCUUUUUUUUUCCACAUACAAUAUCAUGGAUACAACGGGUGGGGUGUGUGUGUGUGUGUGUGUGUGUGUGUGUGUGUGUGUGUGUGUGUGUGUGUGUGUGUGUGUGUGUGUGUGUGUGUGUGUGUGUGUGUGUGUGUAUGUGACUGAAACUAGACUUAAACUUCUCAAAGUUGGACUAACAUUCCUGGAUAAUAUGGUUGGGGAUCCGUUUUCUCCUCCAUGUAUAUGGUUCACACGAACUGAAACUGGCUUAAGCCUUUUGCUAAUGUAUUUUGUCAAUUGUCUUGAUAUGUAAAAGGUCACCCAAAAGUAAGGAAUUGAAAGGGGGAAUGUCACAACCUACCUUAGUGGAGGUGGAUACAAUUCUGUCUAUAAUUACAUUAAUUCCUGGUGCUUUUAAACUGGGACAAGGACAGUAGCCCAGGUAAACUGCCUAAUCAAGAUGUGGCCGUCGACUCAAAAGGAUGUCAAUCACACCGUAACACCGAGUUAGACACUUCCUCGAGAUGAAUGUUGCUGACUGCUUGCUUCUCUAGUUAUACAAACUUCAGCAACAACCGCACAAUAGCAAUACACAGCGGUCUAUAUCUCCAUGCUCAAACCUCAACCAAAAUGGCA
rnacentral:lncRNA from 1 species